GCUAUUCAAAGCCGUGAAAGGAGGGAGAGGGGAGAUUUCCUGAUCUAUGCUCUCUCUGGAGACAGGAUCUUAGAUCUGUCUUUGGAAGUUGCUAUGUAUUGCAGAGAUGUUAUUCCUACUUCCCACCAGUGUCUUCAACAAUAUAACACAUUUCCUUAAAAACAGCUGCCAUUUUGAAUGGUUGCCAUUUACUUCUCAGCCUCAGAGUGACUCCUGCAAAGCAUGAUGGUAACAGUUUGGUGAACCUGUGGCCACUUACACGUCUACUGAUCAUAUUCAAUAUCAUUUAAUAAGACUCUCCUUCAGGCUUCUUUCCCAGGAGACAACACUCAGAAGCAGAGGCAAGUGGAUCCCUAUGAGGUCAGCCUGGACAGUCAAAUUCCAGGACAGUCAAGCCUACACAAAGAAAUCCUGUCUCCAAAAACAAACAAGAAAAAGGAGGAGGAGGAGCAGGAGGAGGAGGAG